GGCAAGGUGGCCGAGCGGUCUAAGGCGCCACGUUAAGGAGUGCAAUCCUUGAUCCCAAACUCUGCGAGUUUUCCGUGGUCUCGAAAGGGGCGUGAGUUCGAAUCUCACCCUUGUCA